rnacentral:rRNA from 1 species
GACGAACGCUGGCGGCGUGCCUAAUACAUGCAAGUAGAACGCUGAAGGAGGAGCUUGCUUCUCUGGAUGAGUUGCGAACGGGUGAGUAACGCGUAGGUAACCUGCCUGGUAGCGGGGGAUAACUAUUGGAAACGAUAGCUAAUACCGCAUAAUAGUAGAUGUCGCAUGACAUUUGCUUAAAAGGUGCAAUUGCAUCACUACCAGAUGGACCUGCGUUGUAUUAGCUAGUUGGUGAGGUAACGGCUCACCAAGGCAACGAUACAUAGCCGACCUGAGAGGGUGAUCGGCCACACUGGGACUGAGACACGGCCCAGACUCCUACGGGAGGCAGCAGUAGGGAAUCUUCGGCAAUGGACGGAAGUCUGACCGAGCAACGCCGCGUGAGUGAAGAAGGUUUUCGGAUCGUAAAGCUCUGUUGUAAGAGAAGAACGAGUGUGAGAGUGGAAAGUUCACACUGUGACGGUACCUUACCAGAAAGGGACGGCUAACUACGUG